GCUACUACCGAUUGAAUGGUUUAGUGAGGACUCCUGAUUGGCGCCGCCGCCCCGGCAACGGAGCAGCGGACUGACGCAGUGCUCAGCUUCUGGACGUUGCGUUGGAAAGUUUCAUGAACCUUAUCACUUAGAGGAAGGAGAAGUCGUAACAAGGUUUCCGUAGGUGAACCUGCAGAAGGAUCA
rnacentral:misc_RNA from 1 species